rnacentral:rRNA from 1 species
UAAGAUGAGGUUUCAUUUGAGGUCCCCUAAAGACUAUGGGGUUGAUAGGCCAGACAUGGAAGCACCGCAAGGUGUGGAGUCUACUGGUACUAAUAGACCAAAACAAACACACACGAC